ACACAUGCAAGUCGAGGGGAAACGGCAUCAAGCGCUUGCGCCUGAUGGACGUCGACCGGCGCACGGGUGAGUAACGCGUAUCCAACCUGCCCCACACUAAGGGAUAACCCGCAGAAAUGUGGACUAAUACCUUAUAUUUUCCACCAAGGGCAUCGUCGAUGGAACAAAGAUUUAUCGGUAUGGGAUGGGGAUGCGUCCGAUUAGGUUGUUGGCGGGGUAACGGCCCACCAAGCCUUCGAUCGGUAGGGGUUCUGAGAGGAAGGUCCCCCACAUAGGAACUGAGACACGGUCCUAACUCCUACGGGAGGCAGCAGUGAGGAAUAUUGGUCAAUGGGCGUGAGCCUGAACCAGCCAAGUAGCGUGCAGGAAGACGGCCCUAUGGGUUGUAAACUGCUUUUAUGCGGGGAUAAAGGAGUCCACGUGUGGAUUUUUGCAGGUACCGCAUGAAUAACGACCGGCUAAUUCCGUGCCAGCAGCCGCGGUAAUACGGAAGG
rnacentral:rRNA from 1 species